CUCUCUCUCUCUGAUUAAGGAAGAGUUGAGUUCAGAAGAAUUACAAAUGUUGCUCUUGAGUCCACCUUUAUGCAGAAGCUGGAUGAAUAUACACCAAAACUAUUGGACUUGUUUAAGUCAAAAGGAGGAGCUGUAACGGCGAACAUGCAGAAAAUCCUUGAAGUUCUGUGCAGGUGCAACACCAUCCAGGAAAGAAGAGACAGUGUGAUCCGUGGCUUGAUCAUAAACCUCGGCGAGAGGGUUGAAGACCUGAUCACAGAAUACAAGGAUGCUGACGACACCAUGAUCCGAGAGGACCUCGUUCAGCAUGUGAUGAAGGUGUUCACUGUGAAGGAUCUGCCCCAGAAUAUAGAGCAUGGGAUCUGCACCAGAAUAUAGAGAAUGGAAUCUGCAUUGAAGGAGCAGAGGUCCUGGCUGGUAUUCCCAGUGUUACAGUCAUGUACGUUGCUUAUGGGCCUCAUCUAUGCCUUAAAUCUAAGGUACUAAAUCUAAGAACUAAAAUAUACCUUUGAGGUGGUCCAAAAAGUACUCUUGGAACUUGAUGAUCUCAGGACCUCCCCACGGGUCCAAGAUAUCUAUGAGAACUCUCAAAGGGCCACUCACAAACUGUGGUCUAAACCCUACUCAGUAAGCUGAAAAGCUAGUUGCUAGGUGGUAUAGGAGCUACAGUUUACAUUAUGCUCUUUGUUAGGUGAAGUCCUAAGAGACAUUGUCAAUUCCUGUUUAAAAAAACAGCUUUGUUUUAAAACUUACUCCACAUGCACUAGUGGAUAUCUGAGAUGAAUUGUCAGGUGCAAGCUAUCUGGAUGCAACUUUACCUAAGGAAGCAAGGUGGAGUUAUACCCAGAAUGCUUAUACCUGUUAGCACUGUUGUUUCUUUUUGCAUAUUCCCUUGUAUAGAAAUAAUAUUGUUUUGUAAAUUAUCCCAUGUAUAUGGAGGUAACUAUUUACAUCAGCUUUUUAAGUAUAGUUGUGAGUAUAUAUUUGACUAGUAGGAACCCAAUUUAAAUACAUUUUACUAACCUGAGUACCAUAAGUAACUGAGCAAAAAACAUUUGUUGAUAAAACAUAGAAUAUAAUUUAUGAUACUGAGUAAAUUCAGCAAAUUAAACGUACAAUAUUUAUUCUGUAACGGAUUACAUGAAGUAUAUCAAACUUAUAACAUUAGUUCUGGGACUUGAAGGAUCUAAGCAGGACAACAAAAAACAACAACUUCUGAACCUGAUAAAAUGAAGUUGAAUGAAAGGAACCUUUGAGGUCCAGUUAGUUGAUUGCACUUCAUAUAUUAGAGUUUGUAAUAUCCUCCUUGUUGGAUAUACUUAAAAAGCUGAUGCAAAUAGUUACCUACAUUUUUAAAGUAAAAGGGACUCAAUAUUUUUUACAGUGUAGUAGGAAUAAAACUAGAUGAGGAACAGCCAAACUCAGCUAACACAGUGAGGUUUCUGAAGACAGUUUACUGUCAAAAGUCAUACACCACGGCAAGACUUAGCACAGAAACAAGACACAAGGUAGUUAUACUGCAUCAGCAAGGUCUCUCCCAGGCAGAAACUUCAAGGCAGACAGGGGUUUCCAGAUGUCCAAGCUCUUUUGAAGAAGCACAAAGAAACGGGCAACGUUGAGGACCGUAGACGCGCUGGUCGGCCAAGGAAACUUACUGCAGCAGAUGAAAGUUGCAUAAAGCUUACUUCCCUUUGCAAUCGGAAGAUGUCCAGCAGUGCCAGAAUUGACAGAAAACAUUGGGCCCCUUGUACACCCAUCUACUGUCCGGAGAAGUCUGGUCAGAAGUGGCCUUCAUGGAAGACUUGAGGCCAAAAAAACAUACCUCCAAUGUGGAAACAAGGCUAAGCGGCUCAACUAUGCACGAAAACAUAGAAACUGGGGUGCAGAAAAAUGUCAGCAGGUGAUCUGGACUGAUGAGUCAAAAUUUGAAAUAUUUGGCUGUAGCAGAAGGCAGUUUGUUCGCCGAAGGCCUGGAGUGCGGUACACAAUAGAGUGUCUGCAGGCAACAGUGAAGCAUGGUGAAGGUUCCUUGCAAGUUUGGGGCUGCAUUUCUCUAAAUGGAGUUGGGGAUUUGGUCGGAAUUAAUGGUCUCCUCAAUGUACAGGCAGAUACUUAUCCAUCAUGCAAUACCAUCAGGGAGGCAUUUGAUUAGCCCAAAAUGUAUUCUGCAGCAUGACAACAACCCCUGGAAGUGAAGGUAUGGCCCCCACAGAGCCCUGAUCUCAACAUCAUCAAGUCUGCCUGGGAUUACAAGGAGAGAAGCACCUGAGGCUGCCUAAAGCCACAGAAGAGCUGUGGUUAGUUCUCCAAGAUGUUUAGGCCAACCUACCUGCCGAGUUCCUUCAAAAGCUGUGUGCAAGUAUACCUAGAAUAAUUGAUGCUGUUUUGAAGGCAAAGGGUGGUCACACCAAAUAUUGAUUUGAUGUAGAUUUUACUUCUGUUCACUCACUUUGCAUUUUGUAAUUUGAUAAAUAUAAUCUAUUAACAUGUC